rnacentral:rRNA from 1 species
AGUGAACGCUGGCGGUAGGCCUAACACAUGCAAGUCGAACGGCAGCACAGUAAGAGCUUGCUCUUACGGGUGGCGAGUGGCGGACGGGUGAGGAAUACAUCGGAAUCUACUUUUUCGUGGGGGAUAACGUAGGGAAACUUACGCUAAUACCGCAUACGACGUACGGGUGAAAGCAGGGGAUCUUCGGACCUUGCGCGAUUGAAUGAGCCGGUGUCGGAUUAGCUAGUUGGCGGGGUAAAGGCCCACCCAGGCGACGAUCCGGAGCUGGUCUGAGAGGGUGAUGAGCCACCCUGGAACUGGGACACGGUCCAGACUCCUACGGGAGGCAGCAGUGGGGAAUGUUGGACAAUGGGCGCAAGCCUGAUCCAGCCAUACCGCGUGUGUGAAGAAGGCGUUCGGGUUGUAAAGCCCUUUUGUUGGGAAAGAAAAGCAGCAGGUUAAUACCCCGCUGUUCUGACGGUACCCAAAGAAUAAGCACCGGCUAACUUCGUG